GUGCAUCUGAUGAUGAAAUGGUUGAUCGUGGCUCAGAACGAACGCUGGCGGCGUGCCUAACACAUGCAAGUCGAGCGGGAACGUUCCCUUCGGGGAACUAGUACAGCGGCGCACGGGUGAGUAAUACGUAGGUGACCUGCCCUUUGCUGGGGAAUAACUCCGGGAAACCGAAGCUAAUUCCGCAUAAGCCCUCCGAAUCGCGGUUCGGAGGGGAAAGAUGGCCUCUUCAUGAAAGCUAUCGGCGAAGGAUGGACCUGCGCCCCAUCAGCUUGUUGGUAGGGUAACGGCCUACCAAGGCUACAACGGGUAGCUGGUCUGAGAGGAUGAUCAGCCACACUGGAACUGAGACACGGUCCAGACUCCUACGGGAGGCAGCAGUGGGGAAUAUUGCGCAAUGGGCGAAAGCCUGACGCAGCAACGCCGCGUGAGUGAUGAAGGCCUUCGGGUCGUAAAGCUCUGUCAGGGGGGACGAACAACCCUCAGGAACAAUACCCUGAGGGCAUGACGGUACCUCCAAAGGAAGCACCGGCUAACUCCGUGCCAGCAGCCGCGGUAAUACGGAGGGUGCAAGCGUUGUUCGGAAUUACUGGGGCGUAAAGCGCGUGUAGGCGGACUCGGAAGUCGGGUGUGAAAGCCCUGGGCUCAACCCAGGAAGUGCGCCCGAAACCACGAGUCUUGAGGUCCGGAGGGGAUCGGGGAAUUCCUGGUGUAGAGGUGAAAAUUCGUAGAUAUCAGGAGGAACACCGGUGGCGAAGGCGCCGAUCUGGACGGAUUCUGACGCUGAGACGCGAAAGCGUGGGGUAGCAAACAGGAUUAGAUACCCUGGUAGUUCCACGCCGUAAACGAUGUGCACUAGGUGUCGGGGGUAUUGACCCCCCCGGUGCCGCGCUAACGCAUUAAGUGCACGGCUGGGAAGUACGGCCGCAGGGUUGAACUCAAAGGAAUUGACUGGGGCCCG
rnacentral:rRNA from 1 species